rnacentral:rRNA from 1 species
GAUGAACGCUGGCGGCGUGCCUAAUACAUGCAAGUCGAGCGAACAGACGAGGAGCUUGCUCCUCUGACGUUAGCGGCGGACGGGUGAGUAACACGUGGAUAACCUACCUAUAAGACUGGGAUAACUUCGGGAAACCGGCGCUAAUACCGGAUAAUAUAUUGAACCGCAUGGUUCAAUAGUGAAAGACGGUUUUGCUGUCACUUAUAGAUGGAUCUGCGCCGCAUUAGCUAGUUGGUAAGGUAACGGCUUACCAAGGCAACGAUGCGUAGCCGACCUGAGAGGGGGAUCGGCCACACUGGAACGGAGACACGGUCCAGACUCCUACGGGAGGCAGCAGUAGGGAAUGUGCCGCAAUGGGCGAAAGCCUGACGGAGCAACGCCGCGUGAGUGAUGAAGGUCUUCGGAUCGUAAAACUCUGUUAUUAGGGAAGAACAAAUGUGUAAGUAACUAUGCACGUCUUGACGGUAACUAAUCAGAAAGCCACGGCUAACUACGUG